ensembl:lncRNA
CACAGUUCUACACAUGCACAGUCACACAAUAGUCCAUAUCUGUAAAUAUAGACCAACAAGUUCUUUUUAAUUCGCAGAGCAAGCACAGAAUCGCAGACUUGAGCAUCUUUUCUUGAAGACACCAUGGAGAACACUUACACUGUUGAAUAUUAAAUAUUAAAGCACUAAAAAAGUCUGAAAAUCUGUAAAUUAAGUAUAAACAUUUAUAAAUUAUCUACAAAUGGAGUACAAAAGAGUAACCAAGAAAUGAACACUUAUAACAUCCAGGCACAAACGAACACUCGGGAUUCAUGAUAAUAGAGAUUUCUUUUAAAUGAAAAUAUAUGUAAUCUCUUUUAUUUAUUUUUCUUUUGGCAAAAUGAUGUUGCAAGCUAUACAGGCAGCUGAACAUUUCAUACAUUCCUUUUUGGCUAUCCAACCUUUUUUUUUUUUUUUUUUUAAUUAGAACCUUCCAUUUUUUUCUUCUACAAGAAAUAAACUCCAUUCACCCUAAAUGAAUGUCAUAUUUUUUAAUUAAAAUGCUUAAAUAUAGAAUACUUUUAAGAUCAUCUUUAAAAAAAAAAAAAAAAAAAAAGCCAAACACACAGUAUUUACCCUGGAUCAGACCAUUCAAGAGUGCAAUCUUAAUCCAACUGGCCAUAAGAUGUCACCAGAUGCUGGCCAACCUCGCAUUUCCAGUUGCAGGGGCAAGAUGUUUUGUGUUUAAUGCAAGAGAUUUUCCCCUUAAUGUAAACUACUAGAUUAUAGCUUGAAACUGAGCUAUCAUAGGUAAUUUUGCCUGAGGGUAUUACUUAACCUGUAUUUUGGUAGCUGAGACUAUGUAUAAUAAGGUCCUCAGCAAACAGACUAUCACAAGGAGAGUUUGAUUCUACCAUAGCAAGCAAAGGCUCCAGGAAAAACAGCCUAUGAUCACAGCAGCAAGGAUAUGUCAUUUAGGCCUAUAAAAGAUGUUCUCAUAACCAGCUAUGACCCAUUUGUUUAAAACAGUGUCAAAAGGGUUUUCACCCAAAAAAGAAAAUUUUGAAGAAUGUUGGCAUCUGAGCAGUUUUCCAUUGUAUGGACCAAAAUAUAUUAUUUUACAUUCCAAGAAAGAAAGAAAGUCAUACAGUUUUGGAAUGAUAUGAGGGUGGGUAGACUACAUAAUGACAGAAUUUUAAUGUUUUGGUGAAAAUCUAUUAACACAGAACACAUUCUUGUGUUUAAAAUGGAAUGGCAAAGAAUGUAGUGUUUUAUAUGCGUGUAGUUAAACUACUUUUAACCUAACGUAACUUUUUAAAAACAAACGAGAACGUUGAGAAAAUAUGUUGCAAAAAUGCAUUCUGUGUAAAUCGGCCCGUAGAAAGUAAAAUUAGAGGAGAGACCAAAACACCAUCUUUGCUUAAAUAUUUCUUACCACACCACCCUUGUAGACUUUAGAAAGGAACAGGAAACAACAUGUAAUUAGCAGCACGUCACAUUAUCACAAGAGUUUAUAACAACAUUUGUCCCUUUUCAGUUUAAAGGGGUUGCACGAACAUGGAUGCAGAGGGGGGAGACACACACUCACUCACACACACACACACACACACACACACACACACACACACACACACACACACACACACACACACACACACACACACACACACACACACACACACACACACACACACACACACACACGAGCCAUUCACCAAAACACACCAAUUGUGCAUUGAAAAGCAAACACAGAAACUUUCCAUUGUAUUUUUAUAACUUCAGUCAUUCUCGUGAUAGACACUGGAAAGGGAGAUCUUAGAACAAGCAAAAAGGAGGAUACUUGGCAAAGACUGAUGUAUGGAGACAUCAGACGUAGGUAAUAUACUGUACUUACUGAGUUUAUAUGAAGGCCACAGCAAUGUUUAAAAGGAUUUGCUCAUAGACUGUCCUAGUCAGUUAUGCCAUUUUGCACCUUGCCCAUCUUUCUAUGGAAAUAUGUUUUUUUGAUCGUGGUCCUUUUUGUGUUUCGGACUAAUGCACUUAAUAUGGUCUGAGGUUUAUAUCAGUUUUUACACUUGACUGUCAAUGUCAGACCAUAUUUGAAGUGCUUAUUGAACUGUUUUUAUCACCAAGUGCUAUAGCAAACUUUAAAAUCUAUGAGAUUGAAUAUUUCAUUAAAAAUCCAGCGCUUUGACUUGAAAUAUGGAAAUUAUAAUAAAAGGAAUUCCUUAAAUACUACUAAUGUCUCUUUGUCCUCUACCUCACAGUAUGAAUAGAUGCUUUCUUUCUGACAGCCAAUUAGCAAGCUCACUGACAAAUAAGUGACAUCGCUAUAUCUGUCAUUCCUUUUCAUCUGGAUAUUAGAUCUAUUUCAUGAUAUGUACGUGGCAUGUUAAUGUGAAAGUUGUUUAGAUUUUUUUUGUGUGUGUGUCAAAAAAAAAAAAAAAAAAAUCACCAAAGACUUUCUCAAAACUCUUUUUGACAGAGAAAUCCUAUGCUGUUGUAGCCAUAUGAAUUUGAAAUCAAACUCAUACUUUCACUUUGAGAACUUUUUGAGCAGUUUCUUCCCCUUAGAGAGCAGUCCUUUUUUCUUUUUAGAUGCCAGGUCUCUUGGACCCCUGGCAGGGCUCAGCGGCCUGACUGGGCCAACAGGAAGCAAAGGACGCACAGUGGGAGAGGCGGGUCUUCCAGGGGCCGGAGCUGGCACUGUACUUUCCACAGGCACCUAAUGAAACAUCCACGGGGAAGGGAAAAUUGUGGGAUAUUAUACAGCAAGAUUAUCUUUUGCCUUAUUAUCUGCCUUCCUCACACAUAACAGUCCAUCUUAUGUCCUGAAGCUUGAAACAAAUGAUCUCAGACUAGAAAUGUGCCAAGAAAGUUAGAGCAAAAAAAUUAUAUUACUACUCACAGAUUGGAAAUCUAGAGAAAAGGCAGAUAAUAUGGUUGGUUCCUGAAUUAUCUCAACUGUUUUAUUACAUUUCUUCUUGCCUGCUAAUACAGAUAAGAAAUGUGAAAAUAUUCCUUGUGUAACUUAGAAACCUCAAAGGGUGAAGGGAUUUUAUAUUGUAAAACAGCAUCUAAACAGACAGGCCUAACAACACAAGGACUCCACACAGUACGGGAACCAACUGCAGAUACCAACUGCAGUCUAAUGCACUGGCAUAUUAAGCAGAAAAGUGUUUUUGAAAAUAGAAAAUGAAAAUAAAUUUGAAAAAUAAAUGAUUUAAUGAAUAAACAUUAAUAAAGAAAUAGUUCACCCCAAAAUGAAAAUUUGCUGAAAAUGUAUUGAUUAUCAGGGAUAUUCAAGAUGUAGAUGAGUUUGUUCCUUCAUCGGAACAGAUUUGGAAAAAUGUAGCAUUACAUCAUUUGCUCACCAGUGGAUCCUCUGCAGUGAAUGGGUGCCAUGAAAAUGAGAGUCCAAACAUCUGAUAAAAGCAUCAUGAUAAUCCAUAAGUAAUCCACAUGACUCCAAUCCUUUUUUUGUAAGAAACAAAUUCGUCAUUAAGGCAUUUUAACUUCAAACCGUCACUUCUGGCCAAAGAGUCCAUAAUCCAUAAUAACGCUUCCUCCAGUGAAAAAGUCCAUCCCCUGUUAUCUUCUCACAUCCACAGUCACAUUUGUUUAGAAAUUGUUCUAAACUUGGACUUUAAUCUUUGGAGAAAGCAAUAUAGAUUAGAUUAGAUUAGAUUAGAUUAGAUUAGAUUAGAUUAGAUUAGAUUAGAUUAGAUUCAACUUUUUUGUCAUUGCACAUGUAAGGUACAAGGCAAUAUAAUGGAUAGGACUGCUAUCAAAAAUGUCUUGAUGGAUUUGUUCAUUACAAAUACACAACUUUUUGCAUCACAAGAUGUUAAUUCAUAGAAUUAAUUUUUGAAUUUUUAUCAGCUG